rnacentral:rRNA from 1 species
UCCGUAGGUGAACCUGCGGAGGGAUCAUUACACAAUAUGAAAGCGGGCUGGAUACUCUGUAGUAGUGCAUUGCUUUACGGCGUGCGCUGCUGGAGAGCCUAGCCUUGCUGAAUUAUUCACCCGUGUCUUUUGCGUACUUCUUGUUUCCUUGGUGGGCUCGCCCGCCACAAGGACAACUCAUAAACCUUUUGUAAUAGCAAUCAGCGUCAGUAACAACAUAAUAAUUACAACUUUCAACAACGGAUCUCUUGGUUCUGGCAUCGAUGAAGAACGCAGCGAAAUGCGAUAAGUAGUGUGAAUUGCAGAAUUCAGUGAAUCAUCGAAUCUUUGAACGCACAUUGCGCCCUUUGGUAUUCCUUAGGGCAUGCCUGUUCGAGCGUCAUUUAACACCUUCAAGCUCCGCUUGGUGUUGGGCGUCUGUCUGCUCACGCGGACUCGCCUCAAAAUCAUUGGCGGCCGGUACAUUGGCUUCGAGCGCAGCAGAAACGCGAACUCGAGGACGGUGGAUCAGCUCCAGAAGCAAACCCCCGAAUUUGGACCUCCGGGGGAUCAGGGUAGGGGGAUACCCGGCUGGAACUUAAGGCAUAUCAAUAAGGCGGGGAGGGGAAGGGUCGGACUGGCCAA